AUACGUAGGUGACAAGCGUUAUCCGGAUUUACUGGGCGUAAAGGGCGUGUAGGCGGUCUUGCAAGUCAGAAGUGAAAUUCCUGAGCUCAACUCGGGCGCUGCUUCUGAAACUGCAGGACUUGAGUGCUGGAGGGGAUAGCGGAAUUCCUAGUGGAGCGGUAAAAUGCGCAGAUAUUAGGAAGAACACCGGUGGCGAAGGCGGCUAUCUGGACAGUAACUGACGCUGAGGCGCGAAAGCGUGGGGAGCAAACAGGAUUAGAUACCCUGGUAGUCCACACUGUAAACGAUGAAUGCUAGGUGUAGGGGGUAUCGACCCCUUCUGUGCCGCAGUCAACACAAUAAGCAUUCCGCCUGGGGAGUACGACCGCAAGGUUGAAACUUAAAGGAAUCGACGGGG
rnacentral:rRNA from 1 species